AGCUGGGUCACGUUGUUUUGCUGUGAGCGGUGAGAGUGUUCGUUACACAGUAAUUUAAUCAUAUUUUCGAAGUGCAUAAACAAACUGUGAUCCGUACCGUGUGCAUUAACCAUCAGGAAACCUCUGGACUCGUGUAACGCCAUUAGUUCGCCUUAUGUUUCGUGUGAUACGCCAGUGUCUUGUGUAGCGCCCGUCCGAGCGGCCUUUGUUCUCGCCUGUCCGCGUUCGCUCGUGGAAUACCUGAUACUGUGGCUUCGAAUUAUGGUGCGUGAAAGAAUUUGUUGACAGUUGUGCUUUCGUGCGCUGGUGUUCAUCGGCGAUUCAACAGUGUUCGCGCUGGAAAGAGUGUCGUCGCGUGGUGCCUGCGAGACGAAGAAGCCGUUUGCUGACCACAUUGAAGGUGCCUUGUGAGCUCUCACCCAAGCAACACAUUCCAGAGGUCUGCUGUGAGCAGACGUGGCAAACUGAAGUAACAUUCAGAUAGUCCAAUAAACUGUUCGUAGUUUCAGACAAA